rnacentral:rRNA from 1 species
GACGAACGCUGGCGGCGUGCUUAACACAUGCAAGUCGAACGGAAAGGCCCUGCUUUUGUGGGGUGCUCGAGUGGCGAACGGGUGAGUAACACGUGAGUAACCUGCCCUUGACUUUGGGAUAACUUCAGGAAACUGGGGCUAAUACCGGAUAGGAGCUCCUGCUGCAUGGUGGGGGUUGGAAAGUUUCGGCGGUUGGGGAUGGACUCGCGGCUUAUCAGCUUGUUGGUGGGGUAGUGGCUUACCAAGGCUUUGACGGGUAGCCGGCCUGAGAGGGUGACCGGCCACAUUGGGACUGAGAUACGGCCCAUACUCCUACGGGAGGCAGCAGUGGGGAAUAUUGCACAAUGGGCGGAAGCCUGAUGCAGCAACGCCGCGUGCGGGAUGACGGCCUUCGGGUUGUAAACCGCUUUCGCCUGUGACGAAGCGUGAGUGACGGUAAUGUGUAAAGAAGCACCGGCUAACUACGUG